rfam:Aphanomyces invadans strain NJM9701 unplaced genomic scaffold supercont1.395, whole genome shotgun sequence.
GGCCAAAUAGUCUAGUGGUUAAGGCAGUGGUUUGCUAAACCAUCAAUUAUUUUUAAUAAUUCGUGGGUUCGAAUCCCACUUUGGCCU